GAUAGAAUCUAUUCCAAGGUGCAUUGAAGCUGUUCUUGCUCGUGGUGCCUAAUGUCCUAUUACGACACUGAUAUAAUCUAUUCCAAGGUGCAUUGAAGCUGUUCUGGCUCGUGGUGCCUAAUGUCCUAUUACGACACUGAUAGAAUCUAUUCCAAGGUGCAUUGAAGCUGUUCUUGCUCGUGGUGCCUAAUGUCCUAUUACGACACUGAUAGAAUCUAUUCCAAGGUGCAUUGAAGCUGUUCUGGCUCGUGGUGCCUAAUGUCCUAUUACGACACUGAUAGAAUCUAUUCCAAGGUGCAUUGAAGCUGUUCUUGCUCGUGGUGCCUAAUGUCCUAUUACGACACUGAUAGAAUCUAUUCCAAGGUGCAUUGAAGCUGUUCUGGCUCGUGGUGCCAGAUGUCCUAUUACGACACUGAUAGAAUCUAUUCCAAGGUGCAUUGAAGCUGUUCUGGCUCGUGGUGGCCUAAUGUCCUAUUACGACACUUAUAGAAUCUAUUCCAAGGUGCAUUGAAGCUGUUCUGGCUCGUGGUGGCCUAAUGUCCUAUUACGACACUUAUAGAAUCUAUUCCAAGGUGCAUUGAAGCUGUUCUGGCUCGUGGUGCCUAAUGUCCUAUUACGACACUUAUAGAAUCUAUUCCAAGGUGCAUUGAAGCUGUUCUGGCUCGUGGUGGCCUAAUGUCCUAUUACGACACUUAUAGAAUCUAUUCCAAGGUGCAUUGAAGCUGUUCUGGCUCGUGGUGCCUAAUGUCCUAUUACGACACUUAUAGAAUCUAUUCCAAGGUGCAUUGAAGCGGUUCUGGCUCGUGGUGCCCAACGCCCUAUUACGACACUGAUAGAAUCUAUUCCAAGGUGCAUUGAAGCUGUUCUGGCUCGUGGUGCCUAAUGUCCUAUUACGACACUGAUAGAAUCUAUUCCAAGGUGCAUUGAAGCUGUUCUGGCUCGUGGUGCCUAAUGUCCUAUUACGACACUUAUAGAAUCUAUUCCAAGGUGCAUUGAAGCUGUUCUGGCUCGUGGUGCCUAAUGUCCUAUUACGACACUGAUAGAAUCUAUUCCAAGGUGCAUUGAAGCUGUUCUGGCUCGUGGUGCCUAAUGUCCUAUUACGACACUGAUAGAAUCUAUUCCAAGGUGCAUUGAAGCUGUUCUGGCUCGUGGUGCCUAAUGUCCUAUUACGACACUGAUAGAAUCUAUUCCAAGGUGCAUUGAAGCUGUUCUGGCUCGUGGUGCCUAAUGUCCUAUUACGACACUGAUAGAAUCUAUUCCAAGGUGCAUUGAAGCUGUUCUGGCUCGUGGUGCCUAAUGUCCUAUUACGACACUGAUAGAAUCUAUUCCAAGGUGCAUUGAAGCUGUUCUGGCUCGUGGUGCCUAAUGUCCUAUUACGACACUUAUAGAAUCUAUUCCAAGGUGCAUUGAAGCUGUUCUGGCUCGUGGUGCCUAAUGUCCUAUUACGGCACUUAUAGAAUCUAUUCCAAGGUGCAUUGAAGCUGUUCUGGCUCGUGGUGCCUAAUGUCCUAUUACGACACUUAUAGAAUCUAUUCCAAGGUGCAUUGAAGCUGUUCUUGCUCGUGGUGGCCUAAUGUCCUAUUACGACACUUAUAGAAUCUAUUCCAAGGUGCAUUGAAGCUGUUCUGGCUCGUGGUGGCCUAAUGUCCUAUUACGGCACUUAUAGAAUCUAUUCCAAGGUGCAUUGAAGCUGUUCUGGCUCGUGGUGCCUAAUGUCCUAUUACGACACUGAUAGAAUCUAUUCCAAGGUGCAUUGAAGCUGUUCUGGCUCGUGGUGCCUAAUGUCCUAUUACGACACUGAUAGAAUCUAUUCCAAGGUGCAUUGAAGCUGUUCUUGCUCGUGGUGCCUAAUGUCCUAUUACGACACUUAUAGAAUCUAUUCCAAGGUGCAUUGAAGCUGUUCUGGCUCGUGGUGGCCUAAUGUCCUAUUACGACACUUAUAGAAUCUAUUCCAAGGUGCAUUGAAGCUGUUCUGGCUCGUGGUGCCUAAUGUCCUAUUACGACACUUAUAGAAUCUAUUCCAAGGUGCAUUGAAGCUGUUCUGGCUCGUGGUGCCUAAUGUCCUAUUACGACACUGAUAGAAUCUAUUCCAAGGUGCAUUGAAGCUGUUCUGGCUCGUGGUGCCUAAUGUCCUAUUACGACACUGAUAGAAUCUAUUCCAAGGUGCAUUGAAGCUGUUCUGGCUCGUGGUGCCUAAUGUCCUAUUACGACACUUAUAGAAUCUAUUCCAAGGUGCAUUGAAGCUGUUCUGGCUCGUGGUGCCUAAUGUCCUAUUACGGCACUUAUAGAAUCUAUUCCAAGGUGCAUUGAAGCUGUUCUGGCUCGUGGUGCCUAAUGUCCUAUUACGACACUGAUAGAAUCUAUUCCAAGGUGCAUUGAAGCUGUUCUGGCUCGUGGUGCCUAAUGUCCAAUUACAACACUUAUAGAAUCUAUUCCAAGGUGCAUUGAAGCUGUUCUGGCUCGUGGUGCCUAAUGUCCUAUUACGACACUUAUAGAAUCUAUUCCAAGGUGCAUUGAAGCUGUUCUGGCUCGUGGUGCCUAAUGUCCUAUUACGGCACUUAUAGAAUCUAUUCCAAGGUGCAUUGAAGCUGUUCUGGCUCGUGGUGCCUAAUGUCCAAUUACAACACUUAUAGAAUCUAUUCCAAGGUGCAUUGAAGCUGUUCUGGCUCGUGGUGCCUAAUGUCCUAUUACGACACUUUAUGUUGCCGUUUCCUUUAUUUUUAACCUGUAUAUGAAGUAUAUUAAAACAUUUUCAGAUAAACCACACGUUGGCAGUUUUUUUCCCUCAUUUGAUUACAUUACAUUCUGCAUAAUAAAUGUGUAACUGAAACACAUGAAAGUAGUCAGAAAAAGAAGCCAACUACCAACAUUUCUGCUAAACAUUCUAUGCUGCUCCUUUGUACACAAAGUGGUCCCCAUUGAAAGGAUGUCACUGUUUAUCCUUUAACUACUCAGCCAACUGACAUUUACUCCUGAGGUGCUGACCUGUUGCAGCCUCUACAACCACAGUGAUUAUUAUUAUUUGACCCUUCUGGUCAUCUAUGAACGUUUGAACAUCUUGGUCAUGUACUCUUAUCUCCACCCAGCACAGCCAGAAGAGGACUGGCCACCCCUCAGAGCCUGGUUCCUCUCGGUUAAUUCCUAGAUUCCUGCCGUUCUAGGGAGUUUUACAUCUGCAUUGCUUGCGGCUUGGGGUUUUAGGCAGAGUUCCUGUAUAGCACGUUGUAACAUUGGUUGGAGUAAAAAUGGCUUUAUAAAUACAUUUGAUUUAUUAUCAUUAUGAUGCCAUGACAACAAAGGAGUUGGUUAUAGCAGAAACAGACUGGCAUCCAGUCUGAAAAACCCUCAGUGAGACUUUAAUUGAAGUGUUGGUGAUAAAUGUCCAUUCACCAAAGCCAAUGGAGGCAUUGGGACCACUCCUUUAAGUAAAUGGUCACUACAACUUCAUAAAUGAACCCUCAAACUGAAUAUCAGCUGCAUACAUGACCUCCAGCUACUGAAAUACCACUGCUGAGACAGAGGGAAAAUAUAUUUCACUGACAAUUUGACUUUAAUGUUUCAAUUAAUUAAUCGCACUUGAAUGAGUUGGUAGACGACAUUAGAAUCUCAGCAUUAUUAGAUGCAUCAUCAAUUGGCAUGUCAAUAAUGGCCUUUGACUCCCAACUGUCCAUUACUGGGUUUAUCUAUCCAGACGAAGUGUUGACAUCUCAUCAAAACCCUCAACUUCGGAUCCUCAGCUGGAGUUCUGUCAUUUCACUUCUUAAUUAUGGAGAUGGAGUAGUUUCUCUUCUUCUUGUCCCUCUCCAACUCUAUCAAAAUCUCCAAGUGUCUCCAUAGUAACCCCUCUAUUUUGGCAACACUGUGCUCAGAGUGCUGUUAAAGCUGGAUAAUAAUGUUGUGUUUCCCUUCACAGGAUCCGAGCCCCACUAUAGAGGCUCUAUUUUAGUUACUCUUUCUGCACGUCUCGUCUUUAAAUAGGUCAAUAAGCAAUAGGAAAUACCCCAGUCUCCUGUGAAUUAUAUUUGGAGACAGGUCCCAAAAACAUUGUUCCUGCCCAAUAAAAGGAAAGUUUGGAUUUGUAUGCAGUUAGACUAUGUUCCUUUUCAUGUACUGAUUAAAUACUACAUGGCAAGAUUUUUUAGAUUUACAUUUUGACUCAAACAUCUACAGUAAUCCAUGAAUAAACUAUGGCUAGUAAGUCAAGAGGGCAAUGUAUUUUGUGCAUUUGAAUCAGAUCUCACGUCCCUGAAUAUGGUAACGGUGCAUAGCAUUAAGACAGAAUGUCCAAUAAAAACACUUAGUUAAGUGGGUUUUUAAUCCUGCAGUUUUCUUUGUUGUUUUCAGCGAUGAUUAUUUUUCUGUCCCUGGUGUAACACACCACAUACCUCAGCAGGGGAGCCUUUUGAAUGACAUGUCAGAGUUGGCAUGGACAACGACAGGCUAAUUGCUGUCUCCCUUUAGAUAAGAGAGGCCUUGCAUUUCCCCUCUUCCUCUCCCUGAUUUCUAUUUUCCAAAACUCUCACCACAUCCUAGCACCUCUGCUCCCAUUUGGUUCCUCUAGUGCAGCGGUUCCCAACCUUUUCCGUUACGGGGACAACCAAAUCACCAUCAAAAGCUUGAGGACCAACAUUCGCAGAGUCUAAAAAGAAUUCAACAUACAAUGAUUGCUAAAUAACAAAUUAAAAGCCUAUUAUUAAUUUGCAUUGUGAAAUGUAAAAUGGCUUAUAAUACCACUAAUACCCCCAACUGUUAGAAAUAUGGAAGAUGUUUAUUUUAUUGCAGAAAAUCUGCUGUAUACCUCUGCAGGCGGCAGGUUGGAAACCAGUGCUCUAGUGACAAAGUAAUCAAUCCACUUCGAUGUUGUGCUUUGCUGAAAAGUUUGAUGAAUCUAUGGUUCAGGUCAGGGAGAGCAGGGGGGGAUUAAGGCCAUCCUUAUUUUAACCUCAACACACCCCAUAAUGAUAUCUACAAUAAACAAUCAUAAUGUCCUGUCAGUGAGACCCGUCAUGUGUGUGAAAUGCUGAAGAAUGAUACAGUACCUUGAAGAAUCAGCCUGCUGGAUUUGAAAUGAUCAUGACCAUGUCCGAAUCUGAACAGUGAGUAGGGAAGCGUUCAUUUCUCUUUUUAAAUGCCUGGUAUGCUUUGCUUUUGAGUUCUGAGCACACAGACACUGUCUUCUGUUGCUAACCUAUCACCUUCAAGAGAGAUUCUAAAAUCAUGCUGACCUGUGACUGAUUAAAGCUCACUACUCAUAAAUGGGUCCUACGGUUAGUUUACAAACAGAAACAAACAAAUACAGGAACAGGUAAUAUUAAGCAAAGCAUGCAGGUCUAAACAUGUCUAAAGAAAUUUACUUUUUUAAAAUAUUCAUAAAUGUCCUAGCAUUAAAACCAAUCACCGCAAG